AAGCUCGUAGUUGAAUUUCGGGGUCAGUAGGUUGGUCGUGCCACCGGUACGUACUGGUCUCACUGAUUCCUCCUUCCUGAUGAGCUGUAAUGCCAUUAAUUUGGUGUUGCAGGGAAUCUGGACUGUUACUUUGAAAAAAUUGAGUGUUUAAAGCAGGCUAACGCUUGAAUACAUUAGCAUGGAAUAAUGAAAUAGGACGUUCGAUCCUAUUUUGUUGGUUUCUAGGAUUGACGUAAUGAUUAAUAGGGAUAGUUGGG
rnacentral:rRNA from 1 species